rnacentral:rRNA from 1 species
GAUCAUGGCUCAGGAUGAACGCUGGCUGCAUGCCUAAUACAUGCAAGUCGAACGAGAGGAAGGAAAGCUUGCUUUUCUGAAUCUAGUGGCGAACGGGUGAGUAACACGUAGGUAACCUGCCCAUGUGCCCGGGAUAACUUCUGGAGACGGAUGCUAAAACCGGAUAGGUAGCAGACAAGCAUUUGACUGCUAUUAAAGUGGCCUUGGCCAUGAACAUGGAUGGACCUGCGG